UACUCAAAACACAAAAAUAAUUGAAAUAUAUAUUGAUUAUCUAUAAAAAAAAUAUUCAAGCUAAACCAAUUUUUAUGUUAAAUUUAGGUAUUUUAGCAUACAUUUUUCAAAUUUAUAUGUAAUAUAUUAAUUUUAUAUUUUAAUUUUGAGAAAUUUAAAGUAUAUUUGAAUUUUAAAUGUUUAAAAUAACUUAAAUGGGAAAUAUAAACUCAAAUCAAACCCACCAAGAUCCGAAAUGAACCCAAAUCAAAAAAAUUAAAUACUCGAAUGGGAUUGAAAUUUGUAACCCUGGAAAUCCUAAAUCAGAAUACAAUCGAACAGAAUCCGAAUGGAUACCCGAACG
rnacentral:lncRNA from 1 species